CCUAAGAAUAUCAGAUGAGGAAAAGAUCAGGAAAGUUUUCACCUCCCUGGAAGAAAUGCCUUCUGGCUACUGUAGGUUCCAGCGCUAGAGCAUGAGAGGCACAAGGUGCCUUUAACCCGGAGUCCCCUAGGACCUGCAGGUCAGAAACAUCAUCUGGCCCCGGAGUGGAAGGUGAAUUGGAGAAGAAUCAUUUAAAAAGAUACUUUUUUACGUCUGAAUGCAAUGAAGUUCCUACAGAAUAUCAGCUAA